GGCUGGUAGCUGGCUGUAGCUAGCUGUAACACAUGCGGGCUGGUAGCUGGCUGUAGCUAGCUGUAACACGUGCGGGCUGGUAGCUUGCUCUAGCUAGCUGUAGCUUGCUGUAGCUAGCUGUAGCUAGCUGUAACACGUGCAGGCUGGUAGCUGGCUGUAGCUAGCUGUAACACGUGCGGGCUGGUAGCUGGUAGCAGCACUGUGGUGGGUGACAUGCAGAGAAGCCCAGAACAGCCUGCUCUGAACAUGUUGUCACUUCACACCUCCUUCCAAAACGGUCGCAGGUUUGAUGCCUUCCUCCUGAGAAGCGUUGGCUGAGCCCAGACAGUUCAGUUGC
ensembl:lncRNA